rnacentral:rRNA from 1 species
UACGAGAGGCCCAAACGUUAUUCGGAUUUACUGGGCUUAAAGAGUUCGUAGGCGGCGCGGAAAGUAGGGUGUGAAAGCCCUCGGCUCAACCGAGGAAUUGCGCCCUAAACUGCCGUGCUAGAGGAACCUAGAGGUGAGCAGAACUGAUGGUGGAGCGGUGAAAUGCGUUGAUAUCAUCAGGAAUACCGGAGGCGAAGGCGGCUCACUGGGGGUUUUCUGACGCUGAGGAACGAAAGCUAGGGGAGCGAACGGG